rnacentral:rRNA from 1 species
UACGUAGGGGGGCAAGCGUUUGUCCGGAUUUAUUGGGCGUAAAGAGCGUGUAGGCGGCCAUACAGGUCAGCUGUGAAAACUCGAGGCUCAACCUCGAGACGUCGGUUGAAACCGUGUGGCUAGAGUCCGGAAGAGGAGAGUGGAAUUCCCGGUGUAGCGGUGAAAUGCGCAGAUAUCGGGGAAGAACACCCGUGGCGAAGGCGGCUCUCUGGGACGGUACUGACGCUGAGACGCGAAAGCGUGGGGAGCGAACAGG